AGUGAACGCUGGCGGUAGGCCUAACACAUGCAAGUCGAACGGCAGCACAGUAAGAGCUUGCUCUUACGGGUGGCGAGUGGCGGACGGGUGAGGAAUACAUCGGAAUCUACUUUUUCGUGGGGGAUAACGUAGGGAAACUUACGCUAAUACCGCAUACUACCCACGGGUGAAAGCAGGGGAUCUUCGGACCUUGCGCGAUUGAAUGAGCCGAUGUCGGAUUAGCUAGUUGGGGGGGUAAAGGCCCACCAAGGCGACGAUCCGUAGCUGGUCUGAGAGGGUGAUCAGCCAGACUGGAACUGAGACACGGCCCAGACUCCUACGGGAGGCAGCAGUGGGGAAUAUUGGACAAUGGGGGAGAGCCUGAUACAGCAAUACCGCGUGGGUGAAGAAGGCCUUCGGGUUGGAAAGCCCUGUUGUUGGGAAAGAAAAGCAGCAGUUUAAUACGCGGCUGUUCUGACGGUACCCAAAGAAUAAGCACCGGCUAACUUCGUG
rnacentral:rRNA from 1 species